CCCAGAACAUCACCGGCUCCAAAAUUCCAAGUGUUCUGCAGCCCCGAAUGGCGUCACCUGAUUGGCUGAGAGCCUAUCAAUCAUGCCUUUAGCCGCACCCCUCCCCCCAUUCAACCACUCGCCUCUCUGUUCCAGUGUGUUUACUACACUGCCGAGCAUAAGGGAGACACUCGUCUUCACAUGCACUGAACCCACUAAGAAAAACAGUUUUUAGUUGUAUUUGUAAGAAAACCUCCAAGAGAUCAACAUGCCCAAGAGAAAGAACCAGGCAACAGAAGGAGGAGAAAAGGAGGAGCCUCAGAGGAGAUCAGCUCGGUUAUCAGCGAAGCCGGCCCCACCCAAGCCGGAACCAAAGGUCAAGAAGGCAGCAAAGAAAGAAAAGGCUGUGAACGAUAAGAAGGAGGACAAGAAGACCAAGAAGGCAAAGGAGAAUGCCGAGGCAGAGGCCAAGGAAGAAAACCACUCUGAGAACGGAGAGGCCAAGACCAACGAGGUGGAGGCAGCCCCCGAGGAGGCCAAGGAGGAGGCCAAGUCCGAGUAGCACCACUGCCCAAGCUUCCUCCUCCUUCUCCUCUUCCUCCUCUACAAGCCCCUCCCUCCCUCCCACACCCAAAACCCCCCCUUUCAGUCAGCCAGCCAGCCCCCCCAAGUCUCUCACAUGGUUUCCCUCCAAGGCGUAUUGUUAACAGAGGAAUAUUUUUAUCAAUGAUUUUAUAAGUAUCCGUACAGAUUUUUAGCACAAAAAGCAAAGCUGAUUAUGGAGCACCUUGCAGAUUUGCAGUGGUCAUAUCAAGUGUCUGCAAGCAAGAUGAACACACUAAAAUCUUUUUUAAAUGGCAUUUCAUGAUUGUUGAAGGCUUGUUUGGUGUAGAAAGCGUGUCCCUGCCGGAUUGGCCAUGUCGUGAGUUGUGUAUUACUGUGUUUUCCCUGCUCUAUCCCUCUCCUCCUCCUUCUCCUUCUCCCCUUUCUUCCUUCUCCACAGAUUAGACCUUCCUCCUCCUGCGACAGUUCAGCCUUUUAUCCAUGUUUUAUUAACGGUUCAGCCAUGUUAAUGUGGGUGAUUCUUUUAGACCUCUAAAUGUGCAGUGAGUUCCCUUUUGCUUUUGUCUCAUGGUCUUGUUUUCUUUUUUUUUUUCAUUGAAAUUGUGUUUAAAAAAAAAAAAACGUGUUUUGAAGCGUGUUGUCCAUAAGAAAGAGGAAGACGAACAUGUGAAACAUUCCGGGAACAGUGAUUGCCUCCGACCUGUCUCCUUAGACGACCCUGCGUGUAAAAAAAAAAACAAAAAAAACAAAAAAAAAACAGCUCCUGCUCCAUCCACGCUGUCAUGUCAGCUUUUCUAAACACUCGGGUUUUUUUAAAAACAAUUGAAUUUGGAAACCUUCUCUGACAAAUGCAGGUGUCUGGUCCCUCUCUUAUGUUCUGAAAUUCUCUUAAUAAAAAGAAGUCCUGGGAAUUUUCCUCGAAUC
rnacentral:lncRNA from 1 species